rnacentral:rRNA from 1 species
UCUGGUGAUUAUGGCGAGAUGGUCACACCUGUUCCCAUCCCGAACACAGAAGUUAAGCAUCUCAACGGCGAAUAUAGCUAUGCCCGCCAUAGUGAAACUAGCAAAUUGCCAGGU